rnacentral:rRNA from 1 species
AACGAACGCUGGCGGCAUGCCUAACACAUGCAAGUCGAACGAGACCUUCGGGUCUAGUGGCGCACGGGUGCGUAACGCGUGGGAACCUGCCCUUAGGUUCGGAAUAACUCCCCGAAAGGGGUGCUAAUACCGGAUAAUGUCUUCGGACCAAAGAUUUAUCGCCUUUGGAUGGGCCCGCGUUGGAUUAGCUAGUUGGUAGGGUAAAGGCCUACCAAGGCGACGAUCCAUAGCUGGUCUGAGAGGAUGAUCAGCCACACUGGGACUGAGACACGGCCCAGACUCCUACGGGAGGCAGCAGUGGGGAAUAUUGGACAAUGGGCGAAAGCCUGAUCCAGCAAUGCCGCGUGAGUGAUGAAGGCCUUAGGGUUGUAAAGCUCUUUUACCCGGGACGAUAAUGACAGUACCGGGAGAAUAAGCUCCGGCUAACUCCGUG